CACCGCGGUUAUACGAGUAACUCACAUUAACACUUCCCGGCGUAAAGUGUGAUUUAAGAAAAAUCUUCAAAAUAACUACAGUUAUGAUCUCAUCAAGCUGUCAUACGCACUUAUGAACAGAAUAAUCAACAACGAAAGUGACUUUAAAUUACCAGAAAUCUUGAUGUCACGACAGUUGGGCCC
rnacentral:rRNA from 1 species